rnacentral:rRNA from 1 species
GAACCUUUACUAUAGCUUGACACUGAACAUUGAGCCUUGAUGUGUAGGAUAGGUGGGAGGCUUUGAAGUGUGGACGCCAGUCUGCAUGGAGCCGACCUUGAAAUACCACCCUUUAAUGUUUGAUGUUCUAACGUGGACCCGUGAUCCGGGUUGCGGACAGUGUCUGGUGGGUAGUUUGACUGGGGCGGUCUCCUCCUAAAGAGUAACGGAGGAGCACGAAGGUUGGCUAAUCCUGGUCGGACAUCAGGAGGUUAGUGCAAUGGCAUAAGCCAGCUUGACUGCGAGCGUGACGGCGCGAGCAGGUGCGAAAGCAGGUCAUAGUGAUCCGGUGGUUCUGAAUGGAAGGGCCAUCGCUCAACGGAUAAAAGGUACUCCGGGGAUAACAGGCUGAUACCGCCCAAGAGUUCAUAUCGACGGCGGUGUUUGGCACCUCGAUGUCGGCUCAUCACAUCCUGGGGCUGAAGUAGGUCCCAAGGGUAUGGCUGUUCGCCAUUUAAAGUGGUACGCGAGCUGGGUUUAGAACGUCGUGAGACAGUUCGGUCCCUAUCUGCCGUGGGCGCUGGAGAACUGAGGGGGGCUGCUCCUAGUACGAGAGGACCGGAGUGGACGCAUCACUGGUGUUCGGGUUGUCAUGCCAAUGGCACUGCCCGGUAGCUAAAUGCGGAAGAGAUAAGUGCUGAAAGCAUCUAAGCACGAAACUUGCCCCGAGAUGAGUUCUCCCUGACCCUUUAAGGGUCCUGAAGGAACGUUGAAGACGACGACGUUGAUAGGCCGGGUGUGUAAGCGCAGCGAUGCGUUGAGCUAACCGGUACUAAUGAACCGUGAGGCUUAACCUUACAACGCCGAAGGUGUUU